rnacentral:rRNA from 1 species
UACGUAGGGUGCAAGCGUUGUCCGGAAUUACUGGGCGUAAAGAGCUCGUAGGUGGUUUGUCGCGUUGUUCGUGAAAACUCACAGCUCAACUGUGGGCGUGCGGGCGAUACGGGCAGACUUGAGUACUGCAGGGGAGACUGGAAUUCCAGGUGUAGCGGUGAAAUGCGUAGAUAUCUGGAGGAACACCGGUGGCGAAGGCGGCGUUCUGGACUGCAACUGACACUGAGGAACGAAAGCCAGGGGAGCAAACGGG